GGGGUGGCCACGCGGGGGCCCGCAGCGGGACAGGGGGGCUGCUGGCUGUCGUUGUUUCUGUUGUUUCUGGGGAGGAGGUGGAGGAGGAGGAGGUGGAGGAGGUGGUGUUGAGGGGCUUGGAGGAGGAGGUGGAGGAGGAGGUGGUGUUGAGGGGCUUGGAGGAGGAGGUGGAGGAGGAGGUGGUGUUGAUGGCCUUGAGGUUGUUGAGCAGCAGGAGGUGGGGCUCCGCUGACAGGCUGCUGCCGAUGCUCUUGGUGCCCGACGAGGGGGAGGAGCCUGACGGGGAGGGGGAGGAGCCCGACGGGGAGGGCGAGGAGGAGGAGGAGGCGGAGGAGGACGAGGAGCAGGAGGGGAGGGAGGAGCGGCAGGUUGGGACGGCGGUGACGGGGGCGUGGCCGACGUCGCUGACGUUGUUGAUGAGGUUGUUGAGGAUCUCCAGGUUGAGGGCGGGGCCUCUCCUCCCGCCCG
ensembl:lncRNA